GUAUAGUUUAACUACAGGGAACGGUGUUGGCAGGGACUUCUAAGGCCAGUGAAAUGAAGACAGUGUUUUUCUCUCCCAGGGUCAUUCCAGCUUCAUUACUCACCUGGACUGGUCUAUAAACUCGCAGUUCCUCGUGUCAAAUUCCGGAGACUACGAAAUCCUCUACUGGGUUCCCUCUGCCUGUAAGCAAGUCGUAAGUGUGGAAACUACGAGAGACAUUGAAUGGGCUACCUAUACCUGCACUUUGGGAUUCCAUGUUUUUGGAGUGUGGCCAGAAGGCUCGGAUGGAACCGACAUCAAUGCCGUCUGUCGGGCCCAUGAGAAGAAACUCCUGUCAACAGGCGACGACUUUGGCAAAGUGCACCUCUUCUCAUACCCCUGCUCGCAGUUCAGGGCUCCAAGCCACAUCUAUGGCGGGCACAGCAGCCAUGUCACCAACGUCGAUUUCCUCUGUGAAGACAGCCACCUCAUCUCCACGGGCGGGAAAGACACGAGCAUCAUGCAGUGGCGCGUCAUUUAGUCCCCACCGAGAGCUGUGGGGAGCAGCACGGGCAAGGAAGACACAGACUCGCAUUACCCUUG
rnacentral:sRNA from 1 species